rnacentral:rRNA from 1 species
GACGUAGGGCGCGAGCGUUUGUCCGGAUUUAUUGGGCGUAAAGAGCUCGUAGGCGGCUUGUCGCGUCGGCUGUGAAAACUCGGGGCUCAACCCCGAGCCUGCAGUCGAUACGGGCAGACUAGAGUGCGGUAGGGGAGACUGGAAUUCCUGGUGUAGCGGGUGAAAUGCGCAGAUAUCAGGAGGAACACCGGGCGGCGAAGGCGGGUCUCUGGGCCGUAACUGACGCUGAGGAGCGAAAGCGUGGGGGAGCGAACAGG